rnacentral:rRNA from 1 species
UACGUAGGGUGCAAGCGUUAAUCGGAAUUACUGGGCGUAAAGCGUGCGCAGGCGGUUUUGUAAGUCUGAUGUGAAAUCCCCCGGGCUCAACCUGGGAAUUGCGAUGGAGACUGCAAGGCUAGAAUCUGGCAGAGGGGGGUAGAAUUCCACGUGUAGCAGUGAAAUGCGUAGAGAUGUGGAGGAACACCGAUGGCGAAGGCAGCCCCCUGGGUCAAGAUUGACGCUCAUGCACGAAAGCGUGGGGAGCAAACAGG